rnacentral:rRNA from 1 species
AAAUUGAAGAGUUUGAUCAUGGCUCAGAUUGAACGCUGGCGGCAGGCCUAACACAUGCAAGUCGAACGGUAACAGGAAGAAGCUUGCUUCUUUGCUGACGAGUGGCGGACGGGUGAGUAAUGUCUGGGAAACUGCCUGAUGGAGGGGGAUAACUACUGGAAACGGUAGCUAAUACCGCAUAACGUCGCAAGACCAAAGAGGGGGACCUUCGGGCCUCUUGCCAUCGGAUGUGCCCAGAUGGGAUUAGCUAGUAGGUGGGGUAACGGCUCACCUAGGCGACGAUCCCUAGCUGGUCUGAGAGGAUGACCAGCCACACUGGAACUGAGACACGGUCCAGACUCCUACGGGAGGCAGCAGUGGGGAAUAUUGCACAAUG